rnacentral:rRNA from 1 species
AACGAACGUUGGCGGCGUGGAUUAGGCAUGCAAGUCGAGCGAGAACGUCACCUUCGGGUGGCUAGUAAAGCGGCAAACGGGUGAGUAGCGCGUGGGAAACCUUCCCUCGAGUUGGGGAUAACACUCCUAACGGGGUGCUAAUACCGAAUGACAUGACCGGGUCGCAUGGCUUGGUCAUCAAAGCUGGCCUCUACUUGUAAGCUGGCGCUUGAGGAUGGUCCCGCGUCCCAUUAGCUUGUUGGCAGGGUAACGGCCUACCAAGGCUACGAUGGGUAGCUGGUCUGAGAGGAUGGUCAGCCACACUGGGACUGAGAUACGGCCCAGACUCCUACGGGUGGCUG